rnacentral:rRNA from 1 species
CCUACGGGAGGCAGCAGUGGGGGAUAUUGCACAAUGGGGGGAACCCUGAUGCAGCGACGCCGCGUGGGUGAAGGAGCGUUUCGGCGCGUAAAGCCCUAUCGGCAGGGAAGAAGGAGGACGGUACCUGACUAAGAAGCCCCGGCGAACUACGUGCCAGCAGCCGCGGUAAUACGAAGGGGGCAAGCGUUAUCCGGAUUUACUGGGUGUAAAGGGGGCGCAGACGGCAGCGCAAGCCAGGAGUGAAAGCCCGGGGCCCAACCCCGGGACUGCUCUUGGAACUGCGCGGCUGGAGUGCAGGAGGGGCAGGCGGAAUGCCUGGUGUAGCGGUGAAAUGCGUAGAUAUCAGGAGGAACACCGGUGGCGAAGGCGGCCUGCUGGACUGCGACUGACGUUGAGGCCCGAAAGCGUGGGGAGCGAACAGGAUUAGAUACCCUGGUAGUC